UACGGAGGGAGCUAGCGUUGUUCGGAAUUACUGGGCGUAAAGCGCACGUAGGCGGCUUUGUAAGUUAGAGGUGAAAGCCCAGGGCUUAACCCUGGAAUUGCCUUUAAGACUGCAUCGCUAGAAUCGUGGAGAGGUGAGUGGAAUUCCGAGUGUAGAGGUGAAAUUCGUAGAUAUUCGCAAGAACACCGGUGGCGAAGGCGGCCAACUGGACCAUUACUGACGCUGAGGCGCGAAAGCGUGGGAGCAACAGG
rnacentral:rRNA from 1 species